rnacentral:rRNA from 1 species
UGCUAGCUUGCUAGAACCUACACACAGGUGCUGCACGGCUGUCGUCAGCUCGUGUCGUGAGAUGUUGGGUUAAGUCCCGCAACGAGCGCAACCCUCGUCCUUAGUUGCUAACAGUUCGGCUGAGCACUCUAGGGAGACUGCCUUCGCAAGGAGGAGGAAGGUGAGGACGACGUCAAGUCAUCAUGGCCCUUACGGCCAGGGCUACACACGUGCUACAAUGGGGCGUACAGAGAGCUGCGAUACCGCGAGGUGGAGCCAAUCUCUUAAAGCGUCUCUCAGUUCGGAUUGUUCUCUGCAACUCGAGAACAUGAAGCUGGAAUCACUAGUAAUCGCAGAUCAGCUAUGCUGCGGUGAAUACGUUCCCGGGUCUU